GUGUAUUAGAUACCCCGGUAGUCCUAGCCCUAAACGAUCGGCACUUGAGGUGGGCCCUGUCCGGGGUCCGUCUCGCAGCCAACGCGAUAAGUGCCGCGCCUGGGGAGUACGGUCGCAAGACUGAAACUCAAAGGAAUUGACGGGGGCCCGCACAAGCGGUGGAACAUGUGGUUCAAUUCGACGCAACGCGAAGAACCUUACCUGGGCUCGAAAUGCUCGUGACCAUCUGUAGAAAUAUGGACUUCCCGCAAGGGACACGAGUAUAGGUGCUGCACGGCCGUCGUCAACU
rnacentral:rRNA from 1 species